CACGUAGGGCGCAAGCGUUGUCCGGAAUUACUGGGCGUAAAGGGCUCGUAGGCGGCCAACUAAGUCAGACGUGAAAUCCCUCGGCUUAACCGGGGAACUGCAUCUGAUACUGGAUGGCUUGAGUUCGGGAGAGGGAUGUGGAAUUCCAGGUGUAGCGGUGAAAUGCGUAGAUAUCUGGAGGAACACCGGUGGCGAAGGCGGCAUCCUGGACCGACACUGACGCUGAGGAGCGAAAGCCAGGGGAGCAAACGGG
rnacentral:rRNA from 1 species